GACGAACGCUGGCGGCGUGCCUAAUACAUGCAAGUCGAGCGGAUGAAGAAAAGCUUGCUUUUCUGAUUUAGCGGCGGACGGGUGAGUAACACGUGGGCAACCUGCCUGUAAGACUGGGAUAACUUCGGGAAACCGGAGCUAAUACCGGAUAACUCUUCGGACCUCAUGGUCUGAAGAUAAAAGAUGGUUUCGGCUAUCACUUACAGAUGGGCCCGCGGCGCAUUAGCUAGUUGGUGAGGUAACGGCUCACCAAGGCGACGAUGCGUAGCCGACCUGAGAGGGUGAUCGGCCACACUGGGACUGAGACACGGCCCAGACUCCUACGGGAGGCAGCAGUAGGGAAUCUUCCGCAAUGGACGAAAGUCUGACGGAGCAACGCCGCGUGAGCGAUGAAGGUUUUCGGAUCGUAAAGCUCUGUUGUUAGGGAAGAAUAAGUACCAGUUAACUGCUGGUACCUUGACGGUACCUAACGAGAAAGCCACGGCUAACUACGUGCCAGCAGCCGCGGUAAUACGUAAGUGGCAAGCGUUGUCCGGAAUUAUUGGGCGUAAAGCGCGCGCCAGCGGUUCUUUAGUCUGAUGUGAAAGCCCCCGGCUCAACCGGGGAGGGUCAUUGGAAACUGGGGAACUUGAGUGCAGAAGAGGAGAGUGGAAUUCCACGUGUAGCGGUGAAAUGCGUAGAGAUGUGGAGGAACACCAGUGGCGAAGGCGACUCUCUGGUCUGUAACUGACGCUGAGGCGCGAAAGCGUGGGGAGCGAACAGGAUUAGAUACCCUGGUAGUCCACGCCGUAAACGAUGAGUGCUAAGUGUUGGAGGGUUUCCGCCCUUCAGUGCUGCAGCUAACGCAUUAAGCACUCCGCCUGGGGAGUACGGUCGCAAGACUGAAACUCAAAGGAAUUGACGGGGGCCCGCACAAGCGGUGGAGCAUGUGGUUUAAUUCGAAGCAACGCGAAGAACCUUACCAGGUCUUGACAUCCUUUUGCCUUUCCUAGAGAUAGGAAUUUCCCUUCGGGGACAAAAGUGACAGGUGGUGCAUGGUUGUCGUCAGCUCGUGUCGUGAGAUGUUGGGUUAAGUCCCGCAACGAGCGCAACCCUUGUCCUUAGUUGCCAGCAUUGAGUUGGGCACUCUAAGGAGACUGCCGGUGACAAACCGGAGGAAGGUGGGGAUGACGUCAAAUCAUCAUGCCCCUUAUGACCUGGGCUACACACGUGCUACAAUGGAUGGUACAAAGGGUAGCGAGACCGCGAGGUUUAGCCAAUCCCAUAAAGCCAUUCUCAGUUCGGAUUGUAGGCUGCAACUCGCCUACAUGAAGCCGGAAUCGCUAGUAAUCGCGGAUCAGCAUGCCGCGGUGAAUACGUUCCCGGGCCU
rnacentral:rRNA from 1 species